AAAGAACUUCCAUGUACACCGAGUCCAAGUAGCGACAGAGAGCCGAAGGAGGCAGGAAAGAGAUCACCACCAGUAGAACAACCAGCGUGAUCCUCCGGUUGCAUUCACAACCCCCCUUCCUUGCGCCACCUGCUUUUCUGGAACAGAAGAGAAAAUUGGAGGAUGAGAGGGAGAAAGAAAGGGGUGAAAACACCUGCAUGUUGACGACAUAUUUGAGCUUCUAUUAUGCAUCAAAAGUUUUAUCUGACAUCUUCUGUGGAAGUAAAUCUAUAUGGUAGGAAUCCUUCCAAUGAGAUUACUUGCUCGACGAUGGUCAAAGCAUGGUCCUACAGAAUAUGGGCAGCAUAUCAGAACUGUCUCCAUUACUUAAUAGCAGCUGUUUCUUCAAUUCAACAUAAAGGAAUUUAGAGUCACGGGUAGAUCAAACGACUCACUCCCUCGACUAUUCCAACGCAUAAAACAAGCUUCCAACUUGCUCUUUUGCGUUGCUGUUGUUCUAUUGCAUGUCUUCUUCUCUUUGUUUUCCUCUCUCACAACAUAUUUUUUUUCUCGUGCAAACUGAUAGGCUCUGUGAUGUAGGUGGAGUCACCGAACCCAGCUGUCUUCAAGUGCUAUUUCUUUUUGGCAGUGGGGAAGGAGAAGACUGCAGCGAGCGAGACUCGAUUGGUGAUUUCUGCACAUAAUAUGGAGAUGGUUUGUUCUUGAUUGCAAUAGGAUACCCCUCCUCACCAUUCUUCAGAUGAAAUGGAGCUGCUGAGACUUAAAAGGUCGACACAAUCGCAUGACCAAUCAAUCAUAGCAGGAUGCAACACAAAGACUGUGCUCUGCAUGCACAGGUUCAGAAUUUGGAAUUUUAGCUGAUGCUGUAGGCUCACCAAAAAGAGUACCAUGCAUGUAUUAUUCAUGACUUGCAUGACCAAAUGCAGGCCAAGGUCAAAAGAGACCUCACCUUGGAUGAGGUGGCCUCCCAUCGGCAGAUUUAGGCUAGCAAAGGACAUCAAGAAGAGAUUUGGUUCUUCCCAGCGCACAAAGAUGAAAGAUUGAUGUGGUCAAUGAGAAUGCAAGUGUUGGGAUACAAUCUGAUGAGUGCUAAUCUAUGAUGUGUUGGGCAAAAAAGACAAAACGGCUAAGAAGAAGCAUAACCCAGCAGCAUUUUGGCCUUACAAGUACUUGAAUCGAAGAUGCAAGUAGUUCUUGCUUUCCCACUCUGACGUCCACAUGGAUCUGACCGUCAAAUUCAGCAGCAUUUUGUAUGUCGACGCUGCAGGACAAGUGGAGACCAAACUUUUAGAUUAAAUGAUGGCGUGAAUAUGAGAAGUUGAGCUGUGUGUAUAUAUACUCGAGCAGGAAGCAGGAUUUGUGGUGGUAUAAUGUUGCCUUAUCGGCUUUGGUAUGAACACUGACUGACACAGCCUGGUCAGCCCCAUUGCCAGUCACUCGAAAAGGGCAGGACAAAAUCUUGACCUACAGACGCCAAGGUUGACUGUGUUGAAAGGGGACAAACACAAAUUUUGGGGUGACUCGUUCCAGCCCCCUUCUCUGCAGAGGUCAGGCAGCAAUGGCUUGAAAGAUUACCCCCUCCCCCAUUUAUUUUUUGGCCUCUCUCACAGGUCAAGGUCAGAAACUUGACCUGGGGCUUUGGAUCGUGUUAGUGGGAAUUCUUCCAGGGUAAUACCAGUUCUAGAUGCAGAAGAUA